GACCCCGUAGCUCAGCGGUAGAGCGUGAGAUUCCAGUAAUAGUGUGUUCUGGAUUCCUCAAGGUCAUCCGUUCAAUCCGGGUCGGGGUCA